CCUACGGGUGGCAGCAGUGGGGAAUAUUGCACAAUGGGGGAAACCCUGAUGCUGCGACGCCGCGUGAGUGAAGAAGUAUUUCGGUAUGUAAAGCCCUAUCAGCAGGGAAGCAAUACUGACCUUACGGUCAGCAGACGGUACCUGCCUAAGAAGCCCCGGCUAACUACGUGCCAGCAGCCGCGGUAAUACGUAGGGUGCAAGCGUUAUCCGGAGUUACUGGGGGUAAAGGGAGCGUAGACGGCAGGGCAAGUCUGAAGUGAAAGCCCAGGGCUUAACCAUGGAACUGCUUUGGAAACUGUGCAGCUGGAGUGCAGGAGAGGUAAGCGGAAUUCCUAGUGUAGCGGUGAAAUGCGUAGAUAUUAGGAGGAACAUCAGUGGCGAAGGCGGCUUACUGGACUGUAACUGACGUUGAGGCUCGAAAGCGUGGGGAGCAAACAGGAUUAGAUACCCUGGUAGC
rnacentral:rRNA from 1 species